GGGACAACAUCCCGAAAGGGGUGCUAAUACCGAAUGUGACAGCAAUCUCGCAUGAGGAUGCUGUGAAAGAUGGCCUCUGUUUAUAAGCUAUCGCUAGAGGAUGGGCCUGCGUCUGAUUAGCUAGUUGGUGGGGUAACGGCCUACCAAGGCGAUGAUCAGUAGCCGGUCUGAGAGGAUGAACGGCCACAUUGGGACUGAGACACGGCCCAGACUCCUACGGGAGGCAGCAGUGGGGAAUCUUCCGCAAUGGGCGAAAGCCUGACGGAGCAAUGCCGCGUGAGUGAUGAAGGAAUUCGUUCCGUAAAGCUCUUUUGUUUAUGACGAAUGUGCAGAUUGUGAACAAUGAUCUGUAAUGACGGUAGUAAACGAAUAAGCCACGGCUAACUACGUGCCAGCAGCCGCGGUAAUACGUAGGUGGCGAGCGUUGUCCGGAAUUAUUGGGCGUAAAGAGCAUGUAGGCAGUUUUUUAAGUCUGGAGUGAAAAUGCGGGGCUCAACCCCGUAUGGCUCUGGAUACUGGAAGACUUGAGUGCAGGAGAGGAAAGGGGAAUUCCCAGUGUAGCGGUGAAAUGCGUAGAUAUUGGGAGGAACACCAGUGGCGAAGGCGCCUUUCUGGACUGUGUCUGACGCUGAGAUGCGAAAGCCAGGGUAGCGAACGGGAUUAGAUACCCCGGUAGUCCUGGCCGUAA
rnacentral:rRNA from 1 species